rnacentral:misc_RNA from 1 species
CCAUAUUCUCUUUUGAAUACUGUAACCAAACUUAUUGUUGCUGUGUUGUUUCCAUAAUUCAUCAAUGGUUUUAAGGUCUUUCUCUGAGAUAAACUGGACUUCAGAGAAGAAGACAUACCCACGUUUCUGUGCUGCUUCACCUGCAAGGACUAUAAGAAUGCGGCGAGUUUCUUCAUCUGCCUGGCGGAAGUUUUGGGUGGAGAGG